GAUGAACGCUGGCGGCGUGCCUAAUACAUGCAAGUCGAGCGAACGGACGAGAAGCUUGCUUCUCUGAUGUUAGCGGCGGACGGGUGAGUAACACGUGGAUAACCUACCUAUAAGACUGGGAUAACUUCGGGAAACCGGAGCUAAGACCGGAUGAUAUUUUGAACCGCAUGGUUCAAAAGUGAAAGACGGUCUUGCUGUCACUUAUAGAUGGAUCCGCGCUGCAUUAGCUAGUUGGUAAGGUAACGGCUUACCAAGGCAACGAUGCAUAGCCGACCUGAGAGGGUGAUCGGCCACACUGGAACUGAGACACGGUCCAGACUCCUACGGGAGGCAGCAGUAGGGAAUCUUCCGCAAUGGGCGAAAGCCUGACGGAGCAACGCCGCGUGAGUGAUGAAGGUCUUCGGCUCGUAAAACUCUGUUAUUAGGGAAGAACAUAUGUGUAAGUAACUGUGCACAUCUUGACGGUACCUAAUCAGAAAGCCACGGCUAACUACGUG
rnacentral:rRNA from 1 species